GGGGAAUUAGCUCAGUUGGCUAGAGCAUCUGCCUUGCACGCAGAGGGUCGCGGGUUCAAGUCCCACAUUCUCCACCA
rnacentral:tRNA from 1 species